GUAAAAAAUUUAUAAGAAUAUGAUGUUGGUUCAGAUUAAGCGCUAAAUAAGGACAUGACACAUGCGAAUCAUACGUUUAUUAUUGAUAAGAUAAUAAAUAUGUGGUGUAAACGUGAGUAAUUUUAUUAGGAAUUAAUGAACUAUAGAAUAAGCUAAAUACUUAAUAUAUUAUUAUAUAAAAAUAAUUUAUAUAAUAAAAAGGAUAUAUAUAUAAUAUAUAUUUAUCUAUAGUCAAGCCAAUAAUGGUUUAGGUAGUAGGUUUAUUAAGAGUUAAACCUAGCCAACGAUCCAUAAUCGAUAAUGAAAGUUAGAACGAUCACGUUGACUCUGAAAUAUAGUCAAUAUCUAUAAGAUACAGCAGUGAGGAAUAUUGGACAAUGAUCGAAAGAUUGAUCCAGUUACUUAUUAGGAUGAUAUAUAAAAAUAUUUUAUUUUAUUUAGUUCCGGGGCCCGGCCACGGGAGCCGGAACCCCGAAAGGAGAAAUAUUAAAUAUUUAUAAUAAUAAUAAUAAUAAUAUAUAUAUAUAAAUUGAUUAAAAAUAAAAUCCAUAAAUAAUUAAAAUAAUGAUAUUAAUUACCAUAUAUAUUUUUAUAUGGAUAUAUAUAUUAAUAAUAAUAUUAAUUUUAUUAUUAUUAAUAAUAUAUUUUAAUAGUCCUGACUAAUAUUUGUGCCAGCAGUCGCGGUAACACAAAGAGGGCGAGCGUUAAUCAUAAUGGUUUAAAGGAUCCGUAGAAUGAAUUAUAUAUUAUAAUUUAGAGUUAAUAAAAUUAAUUAAAGAAUUAUAAUAGUAAAGAUGAAAUAAUAAUAAUAAUUAUAAGACUAAUAUAUGUGAAAAUAUUAAUUAAAUAUUAACUGACAUUGAGGGAUUAAAACUAGAGUAGCGAAACGGAUUCGAUACCCGUGUAGUUCUAGUAGUAAACUAUGAAUACAAUUAUUUAUAAUAUAUAUUAUAUAUAAAUAAUAAAUGAAAAUGAAAGUAUUCCACCUGAAGAGUACGUUAGCAAUAAUGAAACUCAAAACAAUAGACGGUUACAGACUUAAGCAGUGGAGCAUGUUAUUUAAUUCGAUAAUCCACGACUAACCUUACCAUAUUUUGAAUAUUAUAAUAAUUAUUAUAAUUAUUAUAUUACAGGCGUUACAUUGUUGUCUUUAGUUCGUGCUGCAAAGUUUUAGAUUAAGUUCAUAAACGAACAAAACUCCAUAUAUAUAAUUUUAAUUAUAUAUAAUUUUAUAUUAUUUAUUAAUAUAAAGAAAGGAAUUAAGACAAAUCAUAAUGAUCCUUAUAAUAUGGGUAAUAGACGUGCUAUAAUAAAAUGAUAAUAAAAUUAUAUAAAAUAUAUUUAAUUAUAUUUAAUUAAUAAUAUAAAACAUUUUAAUUUUUAAUAUAUUUUUUUAUUAUAUAUUAAUAUGAAUUAUAAUCUGAAAUUCGAUUAUAUGAAAAAAGAAUUGCUAGUAAUACGUAAAUUAGUAUGUUACGGUGAAUAUUCUAACUGUUUCGCACUAAUCACUCAUCACGCGUUGAAACAUAUUAUUAUCUUAUUAUUUAUAUAAUAUUUUUUAAUAAAUAUUAAUAAUUAUUAAUUUAUAUUUAUUUAUAUCAGAAAUAAUAUGAAUUAAUGCGAAGUUGAAAUACAGUUACCGUAGGGGAACCUGCGGUGGGCUUAUAAAUAUCUUAAAUAUUCUUACA
rnacentral:ncRNA from 1 species